UGCUCGAAAAAUACCGUUGAUGAUCACGACGACAGUCAAACAUUUCUGGUCAAACUUUCGUCUUCUCCAACGGCUACCUGAAAAGGUGUCGCGAUGCCUCGCCAUGGCCCCAGCCCGUUCUCCGUCAAUAACAAUCAACAUCGUCCCUCUGAUGGAGCCCGAGAAGGAGGAGGCCCAGACCUCGGCCUGAACGAUUCACCCAGCUCUUGCCCUCGCUCGGGACGAAUUCCACCCACGAUCCCAUCCCCCUCGACUCACGGAGAACGCUUUCUAUUUGCAAGUUGCUCCGGAUCAAAUCACCUUUCAGGGUGUUUCCUCCUUAUCUGAGCGCUUCCUCCAGGCCGAGCACCGUUCUACGCCCUGAGGUCGAUAGAAGUAAUCAGGUUACCCCUCGUGGGGCUCACGGUCCUACUCCCCACCUUCCCGAGGAGGUAAGUGCGGCCCAGGGCAGUGACUUGGCCAAGGUCACGCGGCCGAGAAGAAGCGGGAUCGGAACCCAGGGUCUUGGGCCUCCCGAGGCCGGGCCGGCUCGCCCCUCGCCGUCCGGGGAGGUCGCAAG